UACAGAGGAGCCAAGCGUUGUCCGGAUUGACUGGGCGUAAAGCGCACGCAGGCGGUCUGGCGCGUGGGGUGGGAAAUCUGGCCGCUUAACGGCCAGGCGCCAUCCCAUACGGCUAGACUGGAGGGCUGCAGAGGUCGAUAGAAUUGCCGGUGUAGUGGUGAAAUGCGUAGAGAUCGGCAGGAACACCCAGGGGGAAACCAGUCGACUGGGCAGCACCUGACGCUGAGGUGCGAGAGCGUGGGGAGCGAACCGG
rnacentral:rRNA from 1 species